ACGGGAGGUCGGGGUAACGGAGGAAAGGAAAUGAAAAUCCGAUAUGUCUUUAUUCUGCUAAUUAUUAUCGUUUUAGCCCUGUUUAAAAAAAUGGCUGAUUAAGUUGAGUGCGCAUGUCUUUGUGUGUCUAUUUCCCGAUAUGCACUCUGGGAAUGGGUAGAGAGACAGAGAGAGAGAGAGGGCGAAUGGGAGAGAGAGAGAAAUGGGAGAGAGAGAGAGAGGGGAGAGAGAGAGGGGAGAGGGAGGGGGCAAAAAAAAAAAAAAAGAGGAGACGGAGAGGGAGGGAGAGAGGAGAGAAGUGUAAUUAGUGAGUUGAUCAACAGUCUCCACAUUGCAAAUGACGCGCACACGGAGCCCUGGCGGCCGCAGAGGUCCAUGCGCUCUGAAAAUCCCUUCUGUUGCCGUUUCUCUCUGAGGGGCCAAAUCACAUGCAGAACAAUGGACAAUCGCCUCCCACUAAUACUAAUAAUAACCACCUAAUACUAAAAGUCCAUUUCCCCCUUUUAUUCUGAGGACGAACUUUUAAAAACACGUCUUUUUUUUAAAUAGGUUUAUUUAAUUCUAAGAAUACAGAUUGCCUUUAAAGUUGGCGCGUGUUGUUUGUCGUGCAUCAUAUCAGCUUGAUUUUUAUUGAUUACGACGCCACAGGUGAAUUAUACGCGCACGAUGAGAGUUUGGCUCUUUUUUUUCUUUGUAGAUCAUGUGAAGGUUUCUUUUUAAAUAAAAUAACAAUAAAGUCUUAUAGACGUUCCUACUUGAAUGACUUUAUAGCAUUUUCUGAAAUCGGACGUUUUUUUCCCCCUCCUGAAAUAAAAGGGAUAAUGUGAGUGAAGGCAGGAGGAAAAAAGCGAAUCAGUAAAACUGGCCUGUAACCGCGCAUCAACACCUGAAUACGUUACAAAAACGCGUGUUUUUUUCUAGAGUUAUGCCUCAAUCUAAAAAAAAAAAUGCACUUCUUGUGUUAUAAAAGUGACGAUGUUGUGUAAAUUCUACAUUAAAGCUUGAAAGAAAAGAAAAGAAAAAAAUAAAACAAUCAAAGCCACCGAGCUUCCCAGUAAUCCACCAUGUCUGAAAGCCGUCUUCUGCCCUUUUUCUGGACCGCUGAGGCCCCGUGUGGGUUCAAUAGAGUCAAAUUGAAAAAGAUCCAAUACAGGGUCACCAAAGAAAAAAAAAUCCCCUUCCAUGUUCAAAGCCCGGUUUACAUUUACUGUUCUCACAAAGUGACCCGCUCAUUUGACCGUAUUUUCUUUUUCAAUGCAAACCGAUUAUUGUGUUCCCCCCAUCGGGUCCCUUCACAGAGGCUUUUUUUUGGGGGGUUUGUAGAGGAAGACUUUCCACAUUCUGAGACGCAAGAGAAAAUCAAGAGAUCUUGUUCGCCUUCAUGGGGGAAGAAAAAAAAAUCGAAGCUGGGGGUGAAUUGAACUGCAUGAGCCGGGACUUGGGAUGUGAUGAUAAGGCUGCUGCUGCUGGCAAGUGGAGUGCUAGGGUCUGCUUUGCAAGCCACAUUGACUGCACAGCACUUACACCAACUGGAUCCUUAAGAAGCCAACAGAUCCGAGCCCGACCCGACCCCAGGCUGUUUAUUCUGGGUUUAGAGAGGUCUCUGACAAAGAGGGGAGGGUGGGUCGAGGUGAUGAACGGAGGCGUCACUUUCCACCCGGAUCCAAGGCGCUUGCUGCUGCUGCUGCUGCCGUGGCUGCUGCUGCUGCUGCUGCUGCAGCUGCUUCCCUGUCCUCCAGGGGGAUUUUUCUAGUCCGCCAGCCCUGGGAGGCGUCGCUCACUGACGGCUUGGAGAGUCGAGUCGACCCCGCUGCUGCAGCGAAACGCGCACAAGAGUCCACAGGGACCUCGCGUGCGCUUUCCCAAAGCUGCAGGAAAAAGGAUCUUUUUUUUUUUUUUUUAGAUAUAUAAUUUGCGACUUUACAUCACCUAAACGGAGGACUUUACACAAAUCGGAGUGAUUGUGUGUGCUUUUUUCUACAUUUCUGGGAGGGGAUGUGCUUUUCCCCAUACUUUCUAGUGAUAAACUUGGUGCGCUCAGUCCACAUUUUCUGCAGAGAUGCGUUUGUUAUUUUUGCUUGUUUCCUCCGAGAAAAUGAGAAAGUGCAAAGCGGAUUUAGACGGCUGAUAUAGACUAGCGCUUAUCUUAACCUCUUGCGUUCUUUUUUUUUUUUUUUUUUUUUGUAAAUCACCCCCUUACCCUCCCCCGUCUCCUCCCACCCUCUCUCCCGGCAGACGAUGCUCUUUCUCCGGACGCAGCUUGACAAUGGGGGCACGUUAACUAAUAUUUUGCUCCAUUUCCAUAUCAGCGCGAUCCUCAAUUAAUUAUAGAUUUUAUCAGUAAACUCCCUCAUCUGUGAGUGUGUGUGUGUGUGUGUGAGUGUGUGUGUGUGAGAGAGAGAGAGGGUGAGUGUGUGUUUGUGUGUAAAGGAGAGAGAGAGAGAGAGGGUGGGGAGAGAGGUAGAGGCAGCAUGUGUGCGCGCGAGUGUGCCGUGUAAGAAUAAAAACGUCCUUUUAAGCCAACGGGAAUUAAAACUAAACUAUUCUAGUGUUUGUGUAAUUACUGAAAAGAAUAAAAGGAAACGUGUUUCUCGCCUGUUUUUCUAUUGAUUUUUUUUUAAAACGUAGCACUGAACACCUUCAGUGAUCUUCUGUCACAUCAGGAGAUCAAUACCUUUGAAUCGUCCGGAGACAUUACCAUAUUGGUUUGACACACCGGGAGAUGCCAAGGGAUGGAGCUAUUGUCGAUCCAUCAAUAUAUUCUCUGAGAUCCGGAUAGAAAACUCAAUUGAUGCUCAGGUUGAUUUUUUAAAAAAAAAAUGUAAACAAUUAUGCUGUCUUAUUUUAAGUUGGAAUAUGUCCCCUACAAACAGCUUUUUCUUUUCUUUUUUUUACUCCCCCCUCUUAAAGUUCAGUCGGGCUUCCAUCUUGCUUUUGACCUAUGCGUCGGCGCCCUCAUGGGGUUGCAGAGCUGACCCCUCUCUGCAUCGCCAGGAAUAACGCACAGAAACACGGCACCUAGCACAGAUAUUUUCCACCAAACAGUGCUGUCAGCUGGAAGCUUGUGGAGUGCGUCCCCUGCCUGGACGCCAUCAUCCUCCGACAAGCCGGCUAAGUCAUCCUAAGGCGCAAUGGCCAGCGCGUAAACGCGCACGGUUCAGGGGGCGAACAGACAUGGCAGCGACUGGAGGGAUGUGCAAAAGAAAGAAGAGAAUCCAAAAAGGAGGAGGGAGGCGUCUUUUGUUUUUUUAUUUUGUUUUUUUCCUGUGAUGUACAGUGACCCUGAAAGAUGCUAGUUGGCUUCAUUGCUGCAUUAGAAGGGUCCUUAAGAGGGCCCUUCAGUCUCCUCUCCCAGUAACAUCAUUAAACCGGGUGACCCGAGUUCAAGCAGCACAUAUCUGCGAACACCCAAGUGCCUGUGAGCAAAAGACUGUUCUCCAGGCUCUCCUGUGCUCAUGUGAUUCUGACCUCUGACCUGACUGAGUUAGAUGGCAAUAUGAAACCCGUUCUACGUACAGGGAGCCAGCUAUAGGAUUUAUUAUCAAAAACGCUAACAGCGCAGCAAUUUGCCUAAUGAAAAAGGCACCGUGCAAGAUGAAUAUUUCACAAUUUAUUCAAUAAAGAUAUCAAAAUA